GUUUAGAAAGAGAGGGUCCAGAUUGUCUAGCCCAGCUGAUUUGUAUGGGUCCAGGUUUUGCAGCUCUCAGAACAUCUGCUAUCUGGGUUUGGGUGAAGGGGAGGCGUCUUACACAGAAUUUGACCACAUAUCUGAGAUGUGACCACUCCUUUCGCUGACUUUGAGAAUUGACAACUUGUAGGCUUUGUAUGAAAAUGUAUGCAAUAUUUGGAGAUCAUCUUCCACCAAUGAACAGCCAUGAUCUAUUCAUGAUUUACAGGCCAGCUCCAUGGUGGCAUGGAGAUCACCCUAGCAGCAGACGGAUUUGUAGGUCGCUAGGCCAUGAAACCCCAAAUGAAGCAAGCUAUGCAGUUUUCCCAAAUCACUAACAAGAUCAGAGAAGCCCACAGAAAACUGAUGAUUCUAAAUCACCCCGACAGAGGGUUGAGGAACGAGUAAAACUCUUUCCAAACAAUGAUGUACUUUUAUAUAGUCAUUCAGCUUGUACAAUGUAAUUUGGAUCACAAUUGCAUGUUUUUUUUGCAUUUUUUUUGCAGGUGGAUCACUAAAUCAAUAGGUCACUUUGUACUUGGUUGGGCCCGGGGGUUUUCUUAUUCACCGUGCCCAAAUAAAUCAUAUAUUAAAAGAGA